GAACUGCGAUAAGUAAUGUGAAUUGCAGAAUUCAGUGAAUCAUCGAGUCUUUGAACGCACAUUGCGCCCCCUGGCAUUCCGGGGGGCAUGCCUGUCCGAGCGUCAUUGCUGCCCUUCAAGCCCGGCUUGUGUGUUGGGUCGUCGUCCCCUCCGGGGGACGGGCCCGAAAGGCAGCGGCGGCACCGCGUCCGGUCCUCGAGCGUAUGGGGCUUUGUCACCCGCUCGAUAAGGACCGGCCGGGCGCCAGCCGGCGUCUCCAACCUUUUUUUCUCAGGUUGUCCUCGGAUCAGGUAGGGAUACCCGCUGAACUUAAGC
rnacentral:misc_RNA from 1 species